rnacentral:tRNA from 1 species
AUUUAUUUAGUUUAAAAAAAACAUUAUAUUUUCAUUAUAAAAAUAAUAAUUAUUUAUUUUUAAAUA